UCCGGCUUAUCACCGGCGGUUUCUUUAGAGUGCCCGACAUUACUCGCUGGCAACUAGCGACAAGGGUUGCGCUCGUUGCGGGACUUAACCCAACAUCUCACGACACGAGCUGACGACAGCCAUGCAGCACCUGUGCACGGACCCCGAAGGGAGGGUGUGUUUCCACACCUGUCCCGUGCAUGUCAAACCCCGGUAAGGUUCUUCGCGUUGCGUCGAAUUAAACCACAUGCUCCACCGCUUGUGCGGGCCCCCGUCAAUUCCUUUGAGUUUCAGCCUUGCGGCCGUACUCCCCAGGCGGGGUACUUCCUGCGUUAGCUUCGGCACGGAAGGAGUCGACACCUCCCACACCUAGCACCCAUCGUUUACGGCGUGGACUAC
rnacentral:misc_RNA from 1 species